GAGGAGUGAAAUGGAAGGGGUUUGAAUCCCCUUUGUGUUUUUUUUUCCCUUUUUUCUUUUUUCCUCUUUUUUUCUUCCAUUACUUCGAUAUUUUCGAUAAUUUAGUGAUAUUUUAACAAAAUAUUACUUAAGUGUGAGCGAAAUUAUCGACAUCAAAUGAUGAAUCCCCAAAAUAGUUUUGCAUGUAAUUGUUAACAUGCCACUCAUAUGGAUCCGAGAUUGGUUGACGUUGUUCAUAAGCAAAAUCAUUUGAAGACUG
rnacentral:lncRNA from 1 species